UCCUUCCUGCUGGACCAGUGUGUGACCCCAUGUCUUCAGGGAAAAUCUGACACUGGCUCUCCUUUUUCCAGGAUUUUUUUCCUUCUGGACCGGCUUUCCCCACCAUGUGCUGUGGGCCAUCCCUGCAACUUGGAGCUAGGGCAGAAGUCUGGCCCCCUCUAUGUAGUCAAGAUGGAUGGGCGUGGCUUCCUGGGCCUGACCAGACCAGGUGGUAAGCUACUACACUCCCUCAGCCUUCCCCUCGGGGAUCCCAGGCAUCCAGACCAGGAUCCAGGUGGGCAACACCACUCACCUGUUGUCCCUCCUAUCCCUCUUCUACCCCUCCCAGGCCCCAGAAAAAAACCAUCUGAAGAGUGGCGGCUCUCCCUCAUUCUCUGAAUCUUACCUAGGAAAGUCUAGGGAAGGACAUCUCGCCUCUUGUUGGUCAUUGAACCUCAACUCCACAUACCUUGGGGAUCUGCUGCCCCCAGAGCCAGGCAUCUGAAACCCUACAGUCUGCCUCCAAGACAAUGAUACACUGGCACGCCUGGUGACUCAUGAGCAUUACCCAGAGCAUGACCUGUGAGUGUCCAGAGUCCACAGCCCCACCAUCAUGGAGUCCCUAGAUAGCAAAUUCCCCCUCAUCAGCCACCACUUCCAAAGGCAACGUAUUCCCUCCUUUCUCUCUCGCCAGGGGCCACUUCUAUAACACACUGGAGCACUUUGACUGGGGGCGCUUCCGGGCCCUGGCUGAGGAGUCCCAGCUCUAUAAGCAAAGCCUCAGUCUCUUCCUGCAGCAGUUCCAGCAGCCAGGUGUUUAUGUCUUUCGUCUGAGCAGCAACCGACAUCAGAAGAUGGUUUGUCUAUGAUAAUUUGCCUCAUUUAAGACAUUAUUCCAUCAUUUCCCCUCUCUUUAAAAAUUACUGCCUCAUAACCACCUCAGACAGAUCUACAAGGAAGGAGAUGCCCUGAUAUCCCU
rnacentral:lncRNA from 1 species